GUGAGUGAAGAAGGUUUUCGGAUCGUAAAACUCUGUUGUUAGAGAAGAACAAGGAUGAGAGUAACUGUUCAUCCCUUGACGGUAUCUAACCAGAAAGCCACGGCUAACUACGUGCCAGCAGCCGCGGUAAUACGUAGGUGGCAAGCGUUGUCCGGAUUUAUUGGGCGUAAAGCGAGCGCAGGCGGUUUCUUAAGUCUGAUGUGAAAGCCCCCGGCUCAACCGGGGAGGGUCAUUGGAAACUGGGAGACUUGAGUGCAGAAGAGGAGAGUGGAAUUCCAUGUGUAGCGGUGAAAUGCGUAGAUAUAUGGAGGAACACCAGUGGCGAAGGCGGCUCUCUGGUCUGUAACUGACGCUGAGGCUCGAAAGCGUGGGGAGCAAACAGGAUUAGAUACCCUGGUAGUCCACGCCGUAAACGAUGAGUGCUAAGUGUUGGAGGGUUUCCGCCCUUCAGUGCUGCAGCUAACGCAUUAAGCACUCCGCC
rnacentral:rRNA from 2 species